AUACGGAGGGUCCAAGCGUUAUCCGGAUUCAUUGGGUUUAAAGGGUCCGCAGGCGGGAAAAUAAGUCAGUGGUGAAAGCCUACAGCUCAACUGUAGAACUGCCAUUGAUACUGUUUUUCUUGAGUAUAGAUGAAGUGGGCGGAUUAUAUCAUGUAGCGGUGAAAUGCAUAGAUAUGAUAUAGAACACCGACUGCGAAGGCAGCUCACUAAACUAUUACUGACGCUCAGGGACGAAAGCGUGGGGAGCGAACAGGAUUAGAUACCCUAGUAGUCC
rnacentral:rRNA from 1 species